GGGUGCGAUCAUACCAGCGUUAAUGCACUGGAUCCCAUCAGAACUACGCAGUUAAGCGCGCUUGGGCUAGAGUAGUACUGGGAUGGAUGACCGUCCAAGAAGUCCUAGUGUUGCACCCU
rnacentral:rRNA from 1 species